CAGUGUACACUCACACCCUCCCCUAGGGGAGCAGGUGACAGACGUUAGGGACGCAGUGUACACUCACACCCUCCCCUAGGGGAGCAGGUGACAGACGUUAGGGACGCAGUGUACACUCACACCCUCCCCUAGGGAGCAGGUGACAGACGUUAGGGACGCAGUGUACACUCACACCCUCCCCUGGGGAGCAGGUGACAGACGUUAGGGACGCAGUGUACACUCACACCCUCCCCUGGGGAGCAGGUGACAGACGUUAGGGACGCAGUGUACACUCACACCCUCCCCUAGGGGAGCAGGUGACAGACGUUAGGGACGCAGUGUACACUCACACCCUCCCCUAGGGGAGCAGGUGACAGACGUUAGGGACGCAGUGUACACUCACACCCUCCCCUAGGGGAGCAGGUGACAGACGUUAGGGACGCAGUGUACACUCACACCCUCCCCUAGGGGAGCAGGUGACAGACGUUAGGGACGCAGUGUACACUCACACCCUCCCCUAGGGAGCAGGUGACAGACGUUAGGGACGCAGUGUACACUCACACCCUCCCCUGGGGAGCAGGUGACAGACGUUAGGGACGCAGUGUACACUCACACCCUCCCCUGGGGAGCAGGUGACAGACGUUAGGGACGCAGUGUACACUCACACCCUCCCCUGGGGAGCAGGUGACAGACGUUAGGGACGCAGUGUA